rnacentral:lncRNA from 1 species
AAAAAAAAAAAAAAAAAAAAAAAAGGUAUCGCUUUGGUGUAUGGUGUUUGCCAGGUCAAAGUUGGGUGGCAGGUUCUUCCUCAUCACAGACUGAGGCCAGCGUCCUCGCUGGAGAGGUCCUGGGGCCAAGUGAUAGUCCCCAGGGAUCCUCUGUGUGCCAUCCCCGUGCUUGCUUUAUUCACCUCACACCCCGAUCAGGUCGCACCGUGGUCCCAUUGUGCAGAGCAGGAGGUUGAGGUGCAGUGGUGGAAAAACUCACCUGAGCCAGUGACGGGAGGGAGAAAUUCAAGCAGAUUCCAGCACUUUGGGUGGAGGGGAUAUGGGGGAUCCAAAGACUCCGCAUGCCAAGCGGGUUGGUCCACGCUUGCACUCAGGAGGCUGAGGCAGGAGGAUUACCAGCAGUUUGAGGCCAGCCCGAACUACACAGCUAGAUCCUGUCUCCAAAAAUAAAACCCCAGGCCCAUCUGUUCCCCCAACCCCGUGUUCCAUCUCGUGUACCAUUCAGCCCUCAUCUGAUGGCUGUUGGAGGCCUGGAG